UGAGGAAUAUUGGGCAAUGCCCGCAAGGGUGACCCAGCAACGCCGCGUGGAGGAUGAAUGUCGUAAGAUUGUAAACUCCUGUUAGAGGGGAAGAAUAGUACCGGUUGGACCGGUAUAUGACUGUACCCUCAGAGAAAGCCCCGGCUAACUACGUGCCAGCAGCCGCGGUAAUACGUAGGGGGCAAGCGUUGUCCGGAUUUACUGGGUGUAAAGGGCGCGCAGGCGGGAUAAAAAGUCAGUGGUGAAAUCCUACAGCUUAACUGUAGAACUGCCUUUGAUGCUUUUAUUCUUGAGUUCGGGAGAGGGAGACGCAAUUCCAGGUGUAGUGGUGAAAUACGUAGAUAUCUGGAAGAACACCAGUUGCGAAGGCGGUCUCUUGGUCCGACACUGACGCUGAGGCGCGAAAGCGUGGGGAGCAAACA
rnacentral:rRNA from 1 species